GGAUAAUGGCGGAGGAAUGUGGCACGGCUUCUGCUGUGUGUUAUAGCCUCUGACGAUACUGCCAGCCUAGACCGAGGACUGCGGUUUUUACCUAGGAUGUUGGCAUAAUGAUCUUAAGUCGCCCGUCUUGAAACACGGACCAAGGAGUCCCCCCCGUGCCCC
rnacentral:rRNA from 1 species